rnacentral:lncRNA from 1 species
GGCUGCUUGGGCGAAGGCCGCCUCCAGCCAGCCGUGCCUACGGACACGUUUCGGCUCCAGUUCUCCCCUCUGGUUUGCCUCCAGCUCUUGCGGACAACAUCAGCCCUCUGGGGACUUGGACUGAUUCUCCAGUUAGCGCAUACCUGUCCCACUCCUGUCUGCAAGAUUUGGAGCCCUGUCUGUGCUUCCAGUUCAGACUUCACCAGCCCUGCAGGGAGGACAAAGGCCCCUCCAGCCACCUCCUUGCUCAAGCUGCUUUCUAGAUCUCGGCCACUGCCCUAGCAAGAUGCCAGCCCCACCUGAUGUUGAUGAAGCUGCCUGAGGACAUGUGCACAUGCUCAGCCAGGAUCUCCAGCAGCUUCACUCCUGCAGCCAGGCUCAGGGGCCUGGAGAUGGGAGAAGGCAGAGGAAGGAAAGUGGGGCAACCCUCUCAGUCACUUUCUUAAAACAGGCCACUCCAGGGGUACAGAGCAGCCUGCCAAUUCCCUGUCCCUGCACGUCUGGAUUUCUGCCCUCUGCUUCUGGCCAGGCAGGCCAGCCCAAAUCCUAGCAGACCAGAAAGCUUCCCAGGAUGCAGCCCUUACUUCUGAUCAGUGACGAUGUAGCCAUAUUCCUCUGCUGCUGGGCGGGCUGAGGGCUGUCCUGCCACCGUGGGCUGGCUCUGGCCCAGUGGGCUUUUCUUCUCUAGCAGGACAGGUGUCACAGGGGGUCUGGCAGCUUUGGGAGGCUCAGAGGAGACAGGGCUUGGCACCUGCUGGACUUCACUGGAGGUAGGGCUGGCAGUGGGGUGUCCAGGCAUGGGGGAUGUGCGGGCUGGAAGCUCUGCUGUGUCUCUGCCCUCCACCGGCCCCUCCAUUGUCUGUUCAGAAGAGGGUGGAGGUGUGGCCUCUGGACAGUGCUGGGGGAAGGGGUACCCUGGACUCGGAGCUCUCCACAGUGGAGCUCAGGACCUGCUUUUCACUUUCUACCCCCAGGGACCACUGCAGUGCUGGGUACAGAGAGGACACCAGAGCAUCUGAGACAAGUACAGCUAUUGGAGCCAGACCACCUGGGUUUGAAUCCUGCCUUUGCUACUGAUGAAUUAUGUAACCUUGGGCAAGUUGCUGAACCUCUCCAAGCCUCAAUUCCCUCAUCAAUAAAAUGGGGAUUUAUACCUCCUAGGAUUGUUAUUAUCAUUAAAAUAACACAUAUACAUAUCAAA